UUCUCAAAUUAUUGUUGCAAUCUGAUCUAUCCCACUUCCGCGGGCGCAACAAUGACAAGCAAGCUAAGGAAGGAGACUUUUACUGCUGGUUGAGCACAACAAUGAUUGAGAACCGGAAAAUUGUGAAUACGAUCGAUGGUUUGGACAAGGUACAUGGAGAGAAACUUGCUACACUUGAAGCUGUAUUGAAAGUUUUUCUGACCACAUCACAUGAUUAUAUCCCUUUGCUAGCUGGACUAUAUUUUGAUACCUCGCCUGGUUUCCUAGUGGACUAUGAUGCUGCUUUUCCCGCAACUCCGAUCCUCUCUCAACCAGAAGCUAAGCUACUGGUGUAAAAUCAUCUGACAAUUCGAGUUCCAAAACUACCUCUUCAAUUCUCCCAGUCCGGGCUCAGCUGAUGAGUCUAAGAAAUUAAAUUAAAGACGAUGUAUUUUCAGACAAUGAAGCUGAAGAAAGCGGAAAAAUUAAAGGAAAGUUACAGCUAGCACCUUCUGAAGGUGUAGACACUCAAGUCUCGGGUUCUGGGACUAAUACUGGUUCAACUCAAAUCUCGAGCCCGGGGCUAAACACAACGUAACGAGCCAAAACAGCUAAGGAUGCCGCAGUUGGCCUGGAGCUGCACCAGGCCAGGCAGUGACACCCCUAGUACAGUAUUAAAUAAUACAAACAUGCAUCUUCUCUCCUUAAUUCCAUCUCAGACUCCAUCCCAUGGCAGCUGCUUUAAUUUUAUUUUUCUCAGAAGCCAAUAGGAAAUUCACAAGGCAAUGCAAACUCGCAAGAUCGAGCGAGGCUCAUCAGGUAGCAUUCAACCUUUAAUUUGCAUUGCCAUUUUUAAAUUGGAAAAAGUUCAGUUCUUAAGGACGUACGUACACCUCCUUUACACUCAUCAGGAUCCUAUCCGCAAGUACAGUUCCACACCUCAAAACAAACUCACAAAUUCAAUGCCUACCAACACCUAUUUAAUUUCCAUCUGCUAUAUAUAUAUAUAUUCUUUCAACCAUUCUUCCAUUCCUGCCCUAAUUCACUUACAAAUUAAUGUUCAUCAUCAAAACAUUCUAACUUUAAGUAAUCAAUUCAAGGAUUGAAUUUGAAUCCUUUUGUUUUUCCCUGGUUAUGUACACACUUAAAAAUAAUACAAAUUAUCUUGAGAUA